AUCAACGAGAUUUGUAAAUUGUAAUCGUAAAUCGGAGAUAUAUCGACGUGAGAGAAAUUAUACGAGAAUCGGUGAAUUAAUUUCUAUGAGAAUGAUCAACGUCGUUGCUCUGUAGUAGCUUUGUAGAAACGUCUUUAUUCAUGGAUCAAGAGUCGGCUGAAAGUCAGAGAGAAGAUUGCGGCCGAGAUUGUAAAGUCGAGGAAACGCGUGGCUAAGGGAAGCUCGCUAAGUGUCUUGGAAAGUUACAAACUAAACGAUCUCGGGGAUGAGGAAUCACUGUCUUCUGAGAAAUUUGUUGACGCUAUGGAUAAGGAGAAGCCUGCCAAGCAUCAGACGACUAUCGAUGAUAUCACAGCUCAGAGACGUUCAUCUUCUUUUUGGCUGGUUUCAAUACGUCCUCCAUCUUGAUGUGUUACAUGGCCCACGAGUUGGCGCUUAAUCCGGACGUUCAAGAGAAACUAAGGGAGGAGGUGGAUCGAUAUAUGGAAGAAGGAAACGGGCUGAUUUUGUACGAGCUCUCGUGAAAAUGAAGUACAUGGAAAUGGUGACGUUGCAGACAUUUUCGAAAAUAUCCUCCGAUGGUUUUCAUCAACAAGUUGUGCGCGAAAGUUCCAAUUGCCUCCAGCGGAACCCGGUUACAAGUAUUUAAUCGUAUGUUCGGAUAACAUUGUUUGGUUUCCUGUUUACGCAUUGCAUCACGAUCUUAAGUAUUUCCCUGAGCCUGAGAAGUUCCUAACCAGAACGUUUCAGCGACGAGAACAAGAAUAAGUUUCGCAUUUUGUCUUUUACUUUAUUGAUUAAGAGUGUUAUGUGCAAUAGUGCUGUAUGUAUAUUGAUUUUUCCAUUUUACAAGCGAAAUAUUUGUGACGAUAUUUAUUGUUCGUACACGAUGGCGAAAUUAAAUUUAAGGUGGUGAAUUUUCAUUUAAACGCGCCACUACAUUUAUCUCAUGAAAUAUGAAUGUGAAUUUUAUUUUUAUUAUCACGAUGUAAUUAAAAGUUUUAGAAUUAAUUGGCAUUUCGAUAUCUCCAAUUGUAAAAAAUCCAAACGGACAAAACUAAAUAUGUAUAUCUAUCGUUAAAGAAACUAAAGUAUAGUUUCGCUUGGAAGAUAUCGGAGUAAAAGAGGUAAGAUUCAUUUAUCGGCAAAUGUUCUUUUAUUUAUCUCUGUUUAAUAUUUUAAUUAUCAUUGAUUGUGAUGUAUUACGACUAUUGCUGUCUUUUGUAUAACACUAAUUUGCACUGAUAAUUAGAGCCUGUUAUUCGCGUCAUGUAAAUUUCUUAUCCUAAAUAUACAGGCU
rnacentral:misc_RNA from 1 species